GGAUAAAUAAGCACCUAGCUGGAACGGGAACAAGGGGUUUCUUUUGAAUGGCGAGCCAUUUGUCUUCAACGGCGAUCCCAUACAAUUCAUUGAAUGGAAGGCAGCAUUCACUUCACUCAUAGACCAAAGGGCAAUCACACCAGCC